GCUUGUCUCAAAGAUUAAGCCAUGCAUGUCUAAGUAUAAGCACUUAUACCGUGAAACUGCGAAUGGCUCAUUAUAUCAGUUAUAGUUUAUUUGAUAGUUCCUACUACUUGGAUAACCGUAGUAAUUCUAGAGCUAAUACAUGCGACAACCCCUGACUGCUUGCAGAAAGGGCGUAUUUAUUAGAUGGAAACCAAUGCAGGGCAACCUGGAAUAUGGUGAUUCAUAAUAACUCGCGGAUCGGUUUACCGAUGCAUCAUUCAAGUUUCUGCCCUAUCAGCUUUGGAUGGUAGGGUAUUGGCCUACCAUGGCUUUAACGGGUAACGGAGAAUUAGGGUUCGAUUCCGGAGAGGGAGCCUGAGAAAUGGCUACCACAUCCAAGGAAGGCAGCAGG
rnacentral:rRNA from 1 species